rnacentral:rRNA from 1 species
AGGGUUUGAUCAUGGCUCAGGAUGAACGCUGGCGGCGUGCUUAACACAUGCAAGUCGAACGAACCUUCGGGUUAGUGGCGGACGGGUGAGUAACGCGUGAGAAUCUGCCCUCAGGAGGGGGAUAACGGUUGGAAACGACCGCUAAUACCCCAUAUGCCUACUGGUGAAAUGAAUUUCGCCUGAGGAUGAGCUCGCGUCUGAUUAGCUAGUUGGUGAGGUAAUGGCUCACCAAGGCUUCGAUCAGUAGCUGGUCUGAGAGGAUGAUCAGCCACACUGGGACUGAGACACGGCCCAGACUCCUACGGGAGGCAGCAGUGGGGAAUUUUCCGCAAUGGGCGAAAGCCUGACGGAGCAACGCCGCGUGAGGGACGAAGGCCUCUGGGCUGUAAACCUCUUUUCUCAAGGAAGAAGAUAUGACGGUACUUGAGGAAUAAGCCACGGCUAAUUCCGUGCCAGCCGCCGCGGUAAUAC